GCCUACGGGAGGCAGCAGUGGGGAAUAUUGCACAAUGGGGGAAACCCUGAUGCAGCAACGCCGCGUGAAGGAAGACGGUUUUCGGAUUGUAAACUUCUAUCAAUAGGGAAGAAAGAAAUGACGGUACCUAAAUAAGAAGCCCCGGCUAACUACGUGCCAGCAGCCGCGGUAAUACGUAUGGUGCAAGCGUUAUCCGGGUUUACUGGGUGUAAAGGGAGCGCAGGCGGUGCGGCAAGUCUGAUGUGAAAGCCCGGGGCUCAACCCCGGGACUGCAUUGGAAACUACCGAACUAGAGUGUCGGAGAG
rnacentral:rRNA from 1 species